AUUCUUUUGUAGUUCAUAAGCAUGACGAUUGGGUUUUCAUGCUCCUAUGUGAGCCGUGCCUCCCUCAAACCUUGUUACACCAUCAGCAUGUCACCCUUCCGACA